GCAUUACUAACGUUAAAUCUUUUAUUAUCUUGGAGGCAUCUUGUUUCAGCGUUCUAUGCUGUAGAUCCUAAUGGGGGUCAGAAAAUUGUUGCAGAACCAUAGUGAUGUCCUGCCAGCCAUAUCUGCUGGAGAUCAGCUCAGAUACAUAUGGAGGAUCUCCAUAUAGUAUCUAUUUCCCCUGUUAGUCCACUCAAGAUUGAUGAACAGAAGGCACAUGGAGGGCCUAUUGUGGGUAGCAAUUGUUUGUUUAAAUCAGUUAACACUAGUAGCUUUCCAAGAUCUCAUUUUCUACGGCAAUCUUGCAAAAGUGGCUUUACAAACAAAACAAACAAGUGGAGAUUGCGUUCUAAUUCUUCAUCUCAAAAUCCAUUCAACAGUGGUGCAUCAGAUGGGUCUGCUGAGGUAUGCAAGGGAGAUAAAGCUGCUGAAAGAAAUUCAAAUAAGAAAACUAGAAAGAGGGGAAAGAGGGGAAAGCGGAAUAAAAAUCUCCUGGGCAGUAAAGGCUUAACUGAGUAUGGAUAUGUAUGUGGAAAAUUGACGUCAGUCAGUGAAAAUACGCAUAGUUUUGGUCCGCCUGUAUAUAAAACUGAAUUGGCAGUUUCUCCACCAGAACCUUGUUGUAAUAGUAACAGUCAUCAGCCCAAAAAUAUUGAAAUAAUAAAUGGUCCAGCAAAAACAAAGGCAUUGACAUCCUAUGAAAAUCUGGUGGAGACAUCAAAAGCUUCAAACCUGUCUUCAUCUCAAAAUUUUAGUCAUGAAUCUCAUGCCUCUCAUUGCAAUGGACUCAAAAUUUUCAGUGGAGGGAGACAAUGUAUGCAUAAUAAAUCAAUCAGCUCCUUAGAUCAUCCUUGUUAUGCCAAGAUGAAUGACUCCCUUGUUUUGGAUUUCUUGUCACUUGGUUUAGAGAGUGAAGAAAGUUGUCCUGAAAAUUAUUUCAGGCUCUGCGAUGAAAAGAAUGAUGAUGCUGACAUUACAGAAUUGCCUCAUUACAUUAUCAGGAAACAGAUUUCUCCUGAAGAUAUGCUAAUUGGUAAUACUGAACAUUGUGAUGAUGCAGAGAACAUAGACAUAAUUAGGAAGGACUCUAAUUGUGAAAGAAAUUUGCAUAAUCCAGGAAUGAGAGAGAAGCAUUUAAGAAAAGUUCCAAAGAACUUUAAUAUCUUCAGAAGAUGCAGUUUCAGAAAUUUAAAACAGCAUUCUGGGAAAGAAAGCAGUAAUUCUGUAUGGCAGAAGGUUCAGAGAAAUGAAGGUGAAUGCAGACCUAAGUUUGAAAAGGUAGACUCAGUGUGUUCAGAAUUUUUUGAUGAGACAGAAGAGGGUCCUGUAUAUAAAAAGGAUAGUAAUGUUGCUGAAUGUUACAUGCUCUUGAAACCUGAAAAUAAAAAUCAGACACAGCUCAAGACUUCUGGAAAGCUGAAAAGAAAAAUGAGCCCAGGUUCAAAGAAAGAGUACAUCUCUCACUGUUGGAAAUCAUCCCAUGCUGUAAAGAUUUCUUCAAAUUUUUAUUCAAAGACUAAUAUGCGACAGAAUGAAUUCUUGGAAUCUGCUCAAAUAAGCCAGAGAAAAGGUAAUGGUGUUUCCAAUGCACAUUCGAGUAACUGGUGUCCUAGGAUUGGACAUCGUCCUGCGAAAGUUGAUAUCGGUACAUUUAAACAUAUUCACCAUACUGAAAUGUCGUCAACUAAUUUGGAGGCAUGUGACCGAGUCUAUAUUGCUGUUUCUGAUUUGACAGAUCAACCUGCAGAAAAUCAAGUGAACUUGCUAUUCAAUUCAUGUGUCCCCCUUGGCCCGUCAGAGUUGCACAAGCAACUUUCUGGACUAAGCCUUCAUAUUCAUGUGGAUGAUGAAAAUGACAAGAGAGAGAAAGAAGUCCCUCUUGCAGUUGGUGGCAGCCAGGAUGACGACUCUGCAGCUGUUUUAGAGGAAAGGAAAUCUAUUGGGGUUGGAGAUGCUGACGUUCAAGGUGUAAGUUGCAAUAGUUUGUCUAUUGGAGAGCUUCGUGAGUUAGCUGAUAAAAGCUUGAGUCCUGAAGUCAUUGCAGAAGAGAGAUUGGCUUCUAAUCCUUACCCUCUGGUUUUUUCAGAAAAUAUUGGAGUAACAUACAAUGAUCAGAGUUCUAACAACAUUAAUGAUUUACCUUUUGGAGAUGAACAUCAGGUUCAGAAGUCAAUGUAUAAAAGCACAUGCUUGCCUGCAGAGCGCAGUGGCAAUCAUGCUGGUGCAACAUGCUGGAUUCCUGAAAUCAGAAGCCAAAUUGUUUUUGAUUCUGAAAAUCAAUCAAACGACAUUGUUUCGUUAGUGAAUGGUGUCAUUGGUCACAACUAGCCUCUGAGGCUAUUGAGAUGGCUGCUGGUUGUCCGAUUCUGAAUUUGAAAGAUUUCUUCACUCGGCCUCUCCUAUUCUAUGUCCAUCUCAUGAUGUCUUCAGUGGUCAGACUUGCAAGGCCAAGCAGGUUGCUGGUAUAUCUGUGCAUAGGGAUGAGCCACUUAAUCUCUCUUUGGGGAGCUUGUGGCAGUGGUAUGAGAAGCCUGGUUGCUAUGGUCUGGAAGUAAUAGCUGAAGAUUGUGAAAAUUCAAAGAAAUUAGGAAUAGAUCAUUUUGAAUUUCAUGCCUAUUUUGUCCCAUCUUUAUCUGCUGUGCAGCUUUUCAGAAGAUGCAUGCCUUGUCCUACAGGAAAGAGCGACGUGAUGACUGAAACUGUGACAGGCAAGCCACAAGAGAUGAAUGAAACUGUAAGAUUUGCUGGUGCCACGCUUAUUCCAAUAUAUUCCAUACUUGUACCUCAACAUCACACUGAAAACAAACCCAUUUUGCCACCACAAAAUCAUGUCUCUGACUCUCAGCCACCUUCAUCGUGCAAAAAGGAAAAUGAGAUUAAUCGACCUGUCGGAUCAAAUUUUGCUGAUGAUAUAGAGCUUCUUUUUGAAUAUUUUGAAUGUGAACAACCUCAACAAAGACGUCCACUGUUCGAAAUGUAUGUAUAAUACCAUUCUUAGUAUGUAUGGUUGUGCAUAUUAUUUUUUAUGUUUGACAUGGGAGAUCCUGGCCCAUUUUUCUGAUCAUAUUUCCUUUGAUUUUGAUCAUUCUGUUCUGAAAAUUUUCAUCAUAAUUCUGUCAUAUAUGUCUAUUUUGACUUACACUUCUACUAUACACACUCAAACCUGAAUUAUAUGACCCUUCUGGAAUGGGUCGUAGCCCUCGUACCAUUGUGUGAUUCGCAUCAAACGAAUCCUCUUUUAGGUUGGGUAGAGUCCACAAGGUAGAUUUUGUUUUACAUGAUAUCGGUCUUCUUAGAAAAUUCCAUGGUGCUGCCUCUCCUUGUGAGCUCAUUUCUGCACCACAGCGACCUCCUCUAGGCCAGCUGCCACCAUGCCAUCCCCUUUUUUCACAAUGGAGAGAAGUAUCAAACUACAAAAUAUGUGAUAAUUGGCAUGGCAGAAGGCUUGGAUGCAUUUGAUGCCAGUGGCAUGAAAAAGAUCAGUGGUGGUCAAUGAAGUAGGAUUGAUGUGCCUCCUCCUUCACCUACCUCUGUCAACCUUUCUCUUUGGAGUAACUGUAUUGACAUUUAAAUCAGUAGUUGUGCUUGCUAAAGCAAUAAGUGAAAGUGGUGAUUCUUCCCCAACUUCUCAAAGUAGAUGUAAGAGGCAAGAAUAGUUGUGUGAUCCACGUGUUGCAAUGAGUUGACUUGCAGUCAGUAUAUUUUUUUAUUGAAGUGUGUAGAAAGACAAGGUUGAGAUAAACAAAUAUAGGUUUGACAGUAGGCACACAAUGGUGGGGGAAGGGUUGAAGUUUCCUUCAUGUGUUUGAAAACUUUGUGGGAUAUGGAUGGAGUUCAAGCAUAAGCCUCGGGAUUGUAAUGUAAUCUAAAAAUCAAUCCAUUAACUAAAUAUAAAUUUAUUUUUACCUUACCUCUUCUUUAUAUUUGUCAUUUAAUCUUACGGCAGACUUUAUAUUGUACUGACAUACGUUUUUUUAUUUGUAUCUAAAUGACCAAAAUCUACACAAAUACUUUGAUAUGGCUGGCAUUCACUGAUUUCACUAGUAGAGAACUGCAUAAGCACAGAGUUGCAUUUCCUUGACAGAGCUAUUUAAUUAAAUGCCUUGUAUAUACGUGUUAUGUUUGCAUUUGUAUAUCAGAAAAUGAGGCAGGAUGAACAGUUCACGAGCAUUUUUGAAGUCUUUGGAAAUCUGUGUGGCUUAAACAGAUAAAUACUUCUACAUAAUUCAUUGAUCUAAGGUCAACAUACAUAAAACUGGUUUCACAAACAAUCUGUGGAUUUAAAUUAUUUUCUGAUUCUUGUGUUUCAGGAUAAAGGAGCUUGUUAGAGGUGAAGGACAUUCAAAAUGCAGAGCACGUGGAGAUCCCACUGUUCUAGAGCAGGUGGGUCUACAGGAUCUUCACCAAAGUUCAUGGUCAGUAAAUGUAGAGACUAAUCCAGAAUAAUAAGUUAUGCAACCUUGUAAAGUUAGUUUGAUAUGAACAUGUAUUGUUGUUGAGCAUUGACAGUCUAUUUUCAGGUAUUCAGUUGCAUGGUAUCCCAUUUAUAGAAUACCUGAUGGCUCUCUUCGUGCAGCUUUCUUGACUUACCAUUCACUUGGCCAUUUGGUACGCAAAGACCCCAUACAUGAUUCGUCGGUGGAUACUUGUAUAGUUUCUCUGGUUGUGGGCCUCCAGAGCUACAAUGCUCAGGUAGAUAUAUUCUGCUACAAAUUCUUCUUCAAGUUCCCAAAGACCUGUGUCAUGCAUCCUCUGCUAGAGGAGCUCUUAACUGCUCUGUGUUAUUGCUUAGGAUCUAUUCCGCGUGUCUUUAUACAACUAGUACUGUAAAAUGCAAGUGUUGAGCCCUGAUUUUCCAUAGGGCAGUGAGGAUUAAUCAACUGAAAAUGUAAUGUUAGUUUGGAGGUCUCCUUGAACUUCCAUAAAAUCUAUUUAAUGUGGAAAAUAAAUAUUACUUCAAAAUUUAAGAGAGACCGCAUGAGUUCUAUAAUAUUAUUGCUGAAUGAUUAAACAAAAUGAGUAUUGUCAUUAUGCAACUAACAACUAUACAAUUAGAUGGAUGAAAUAAUAUUUGAGAUAACUCUAGGUUGUUGUGACCCCAGAAAGAUUAAGGCAACAAAUAACCUAAUUCUAGAUUGCCUCUGCAAAAAGAUUGUGGCCAACAAGAAACCCAAUUCUAGCAGUUAGCUUCACUAGAAGAUCAAGACAUUCUUGCCCAUGAAUGGCAUUGACAGAAUUUUACUUUGGUGGAAUACGAUCAAAACCAAAAAGAAUAUCAUGAAUGAUGCAAAAGUAUAGUUAUUUUUUCAAUAAUUACAUCCAUCUAUCCUGUGACUGCAUCAAAUUGUAAUGUUAAAUGACCACAAACGAAUGUAACAUUAAUUUGUUUAUGAUAAUCUGUUGCAAAUUUGAACAAUUAUGGCAAAAGAGGAAAAUUAAUUGUCCAAAUUUAUUGGGAUUAAGACUUAGUUUUUCUGUGUGUGGCAAAAACAAGAAAGAUGUAGCCUCUCUUCCUCUCGAUUAGUUAGAAACUUCCUGGAAUUGGAGUCUUUUAUUGCAUGGGAGAAACACUCUUUUACUGCAAUUACAGCAUUGCUGCAUUUUUACUGCACUUGACCAUUCUCUUUUACGUUCAAAAUGAACACUGAACCUGGUUUAUUAAUAUGUACCUAAUAAAGGCACACUUCUAUAAGUAUUGAACUUGAUAAUUUUCUCUGUUCUAUCUAUGGAACUGAAGUACUAUCCAUGAACUUCAUCAUUAAUCUUUGAAUAUAUUUUGCUUCCAAUCCAGUCUCUCUUGUAAUUGUAUAUCAAUGGCAAAUGAGCAGGGUGAAUGCUGGUUCCGGCCUAGACUCCCUGAAAAAAUUCUGACAGCCAACACUCCGGGAAUUUUGAAAGAGCGAUUGAGGACUCUCGAGCAGACGGCAUCUCAUAUGGCUCGUGCUGUCAUUAUGAGAGGAAGUCAGGCAUUUGUAAACAGACAGCCUGAUUACGAGUUCUUUCUGUCUAGGAGAAUCUAGUAAUUUCGUGUAUGUACUUAUUUUUUAUUUCUCAUGUAGAACUAGCUAGUGCUAAGGCUUAUUUAGUGUUGUAUAACAAUUGGUAAACUGAGGUUUUAUCCCUGCAGCAUACUUCCGUGUUUGCAGAUAAGCUUUGUAGAUUAUUUCAAAGUCAAUAUGCACUUAUAUUGCGAGUUUUGAAGGAUGCAAUGUGAGGAGGAAAUCGUGUGAGCAU
rnacentral:lncRNA from 1 species